GGGGCGGUGGCGCAGCUGGGAGCGCGUUAGACUGAAGAAAAACUUCACUCAUAAAUCUAAAGGUCAUCGGUUCAAGCCCGGUCCACCCCA